UUCCACACUGAGCAAAGUUUGUGAGGCAUGGAAUCAGGAUCUGUGUGUGAGUGAGUAAUGCAUUUGGAUAGUGCUGCUUGAUAGAGAGAAGCUGUUAGAUUUUAAUCUAAUGGGUUGGUCUUGUAUGUAAAUAUUGAUAGAAUACUUGAACGAUAUAUUUCUUUUAGCAGUUAUUUAUUUUUUUACUAAUAAUGCUGGAAAUAGAAAGGAAUCUUGUGUUUAAUUUUUUUUUAGCUAUGAUAUGAUUUGAACUCAUCGUUCAACUCAUAGAAUUUAUAGUGAUAUCACACUUGCUGUUCAUAAUGAAAAGAAUUGCUCAUUUAUUUUAAAUUGUACGUUUAGAGUUAUUUUAGAGUUAAUGCAAUCAUUUAUCUUUCUUUGUAAAUAGAUUUUGGUAGCUUGAGACCUAGGGAACUAGACAGACAGUUCAAGAUAGAGACUACUUUGUAAAAGUGUAAUAUAAAAAGUUUUAUAGGCCUUAUUACAUUCAUUUUUUAUUUAUUCAAUUUCUUUUGUUUAUUGGAAUGGUUAUCUAAGUACUAGCAAUUACUAAACUCUCACACAGCCAUGCUUCAGUUCUGGCUUCUGUUUGUGGCCAGUUUUAAUUUCUCUGAGGGUCAGUAUCUCAACAAUGCUCCCAUCAUUAUCCAGUAUAAUGUCUUGGAAGAACAACCAGCAGGCACAAGGGUGGGCUGCCUGUUGGACAACCUGCGUCAGAAAGGAGAGACUGAAUCACUGGAGGACUUCCGGAUUGUGGAGCAUGGUCAGGCCCUACCAUUCACUGUGGCCAAAAGAGAUGGGGUGGUGUCAACACUAGGCCAGCUGGACCGGGAGGAGUUGUGUCGUGGUGCUGACCAGUGUGAACUGGCCUUUAGUGUUCUCUAUAGGAAAGGUGGAGCAGUACACUUCCUGCGUGUUAGAGUGGAGGUGAUGGACAUGAAUGACCACAGUCCUGUCUUCCCUAACCCAGUGCAGGAGGUGGAGAUCUCAGAAACAGUGGGUCUGAGGAUGCGUAUUCCACUGGACCGUGCUGAGGAUCCAGACUCAGGUUUCAAUGGCCUGCAGACCUAUUCACUUUCUCCAAGUCAUCACUUUGCUCUAGACGUACGUCCCUCUGGAGGUGCCAAACAGCCAGAAUUGGUGGUUAUUAAAGAACUGGACCGGGAGCUGGAAUCAUCCUUUGAAUUAAUAUUGUUUGCUUGGGACAAAGGGAAUCCACCCAAAUCUGGCAGCACCAAAGUCAAAGUCAUAGUCUUGGACUCCAAUGACAACAGUCCCAUGUUUGAGGAGAAUGCUCCAAUAGUUGACCUUCCUGAAGAUGCGGUACGAGGCACAGUAGUUAUCAACCUUCAUGCUACAGAUCCUGACCAGGGUGCUAAUGGAGAGGUUGUUUACUCACUCAGUAAACAUGCCCCUUUAGAUGUACAGAGACUUUUUAGUGUUGAUCCUCAAACAGGUGCUGUAGUUUUAAAAGGUCUUUUAGACUUUGAGGAAAAGAGAUUAUAUGAGGUAGACAUACAGGCAAAGGAUCGUGGCCACAAUGCUAUCCCAUCCCACUGCAAAAUGCAAGUAAGAGUUCAAGAUGUCAAUGACAAUGCACCUCGGAUACACAUUACAUGGACUCCUCCAGAUUCUCCUGUGGCAACUGUGUUGGAAGGGGCAACAAAUGAAACCUUUCUGGCUCUUGUGAUGGUGUCUGAUGCUGAUUCAGGUCCAAAUGGGGAAGUACAAGUCCAGAUUCAGCAAGGAUCAGGUCCAUUCCGGCUCAAGCAAAUCCAUGGAGACAACUACAUAAUUGUUACUAAUGGAAGCUUAGAUCGGGAGCGACAAAUGAAAUAUAAUAUUACUCUUCUUGCUCGGGACAGUGGUGUUCCUUCUCUGUCUUGUGUAAGACAUCUGACUGUCAAUGUUUUGGAUGAAAAUGACAAUGCGCCAGUAUUUUCCAAAACUCUCUACACUGGUGUUUUCAAUGAGAAUAAUGCACCUGGAUUUCAUAUCUUGACUGUGGAAGCACAUGAUGUUGACUUGGACCUUAGUGGACGAGUGUCAUACUCAAUUAGAGAGUCAAAUGAACUUGGGACACCAACUGCUUUCUUCUCAGUCCACCCAACCAGUGGGGCAAUUAUUGCUCAGCAGUCAUUAGACUAUGAGGAAUCACCGACAUACUCCUUUAUUGUGGAAGCAGUAGAUCAUGGCUACCCUCGAAUGACCAGCAGUACUACUGUGCUUAUUAUGAUUGAGGAUGUUAAUGACAACUAUCCCAUCAUCAGGGAACCGCUUCCCAAGAAAGGUAUUGCAGUAGUGAGUGUUCCAGUUAAUGCAGAAAAAGGAGAGAUUGUGACGGAACUUAAGAACAAAGUGCAUGAAACUAUACAUUCACUGAGCAAUCAUUCUUCCCAAUUUAGACUUGAAGGUUUUUUGGCAACAACCAUAUUAGCAAGUGACUCCGACUCUGGUCUCAAUGGAAAACUCCAAUUUAAAAUAAUAGCAGGGAAUCCCUCCAGGCUGUUCUGGUUAGACGAAACCACAGGUCACUUAUAUGUGAACACCACCAAUGCUACAGAAUUGAUUGGCAAAGCUUUUAAAGUGGUCAUUGCAGUGUCAGACAUGGGAACACCUCUACUUGUCACACAGACAACACUAGAGGUAACAUUCAUCAAUCUUCGUGACCAUCUUAAGAACUCUGCUCCUGGACAGCAGGCUCAGUUCAGCUUCACAAUGCUUUUAGCUGUCUGCAUUGGGGGAACCUGCUUGCUUUUGCUCCUAGCUGUUGCUUUGGUAACCACAUUCUGUCGCCCAGAAAAACGAGACACUCAUGCUUACAACUGCAGACAAGCUGAAUCUACCUACACUAGUCACCCUCGCAGACCACAGAAACACAUUCAAAAAACAGACAUACAGCUAGUUCCUGUCCUAAGGGGUAGAAAAGGUGACAAACCUGAAGAAGAGUCCCAGCCACUUUCAUCUAGCUCUCCUCUUCCAGAAGAACCUCACCCAGAAGACCAGCUGAGUCUUUCACCAACACUUGCUCACCUUGUACAAAGCCAAGCUUUUGCCGAAAAUAAUGGUACCCUGCCAUUCCCACAGAGCAAGACACUCAGAAAACCUGGGAGCAUAGAAUGCCCACAUACCCCUACAACACCCUACCGAACCCUGCGCAAGGCACGAAACCCUUCCUCCUCCUCAUCCUUGCACUCACAGUCCAACACUCUGAGACGCCAUAAGAAGCCUGAAGAAGUAAAUACAUCGACUGACUCCCAAGCUGUGGCCUCUGCUCCUUUCACACAGACCACUUUGAGGAGGACAAAAAACUCAGAAAGAAAUGGAAGGCCUGAGGAACAAGACCACAGACAAAUACUGAGAAAUUUGGUGCGAUUAUCCAUGGCUGCUCUUGGAGAAAACUCACUUGAGCUAUCUUCGGCUUCACCUGAGGUGCAGGUCUCUCAGCUGUUGUCUCUGCUGCAUCAGGGCCAGUUUCAGCCUCGACCAAAUUUCCGUGGCAACAAAUAUUCCCACAGAGGUGGCCGAUCUGGAGCACAGGAUGCUGAUUGGCUGAGUACUAAAGACAGCGGGCAUGGCGAAAGUGAACCUGGAGAUGUGGACUGGGAAGCAGGCAGAGACUCCCCAAUUGACCCCUUGUUGGAGGAGGGCUUAACCAACCUGCUCAGCCACCACGAUGAUGUGUUCUUGGACACCCCUGAUCCAGCGUGGAUGGCUCGGCUGUCCCUCCCUCUGACCAGUGAUUAUCAUGACAACCUUUAUGUCCCUGAUGGGCUACCACCCUCAGAAGAACAGAGCUCCACUUUAGUUGGCCCAAAUGACUCUGCUUCCUUCUCCACUUUCGGUAAAGCCUCAGAGAAGAAUGGGCCGUUAGCAGGUGAAAAUCUGCUUUCGGAAGUCAGCACACUGUUUGAGAUGCUGAUGACACAGAAAGCUGACGCUCAGCCGCGUUCAGACAUCCUCUACAGACUUUCUGCAGCUUAUCGCCGCUCCCUCGGCCUCGAUGGCCACCAAGGGCCAAAUGAAAAAUCUAUAAUACGUUGUGCCACUCCAAACCGUUACUGAAAUUCAAGUCUCAUGUGAACACUCACCUUUGCCUUCCAUCAUCACUGAAUCUCGUUCACUGUUACAGUUCUGUCUUAAACUGGUGUUGGUUUUAAGCAACUUUGUCAUAACAUCAUCAGUCUCUCUGGGAGGUCUGUCUGGUACAGGCCAGCUAAGGCAAAAUUCAAAGAUCUGUUUCAUAUUUCCAGGAAUGAACUCUAUGUACUCUUUUGCAACAAAGUGAAACUGUGAUAAGGAGACAAAGAGGCAGUUUACCCUCUGCUUCAGACUGUAACCCAAAUUACUCUACAAUGGUGCUUUUCUCACAAAGUAGUUUAUGAGACCAAUGGCUUUGUAUCGGCUUAGAAAAGGAAAUGGCUCUUUGUCUUUUUUUGAGACUAAACACCAGCAGAACAAAUCCUGUCUCUGAGAAGGAAUGUGUGAAAAUUUCGACCACAAUGGAUUAUAAGCAGCCUUGCUUCCUCUGCCAUAGCCAUACUCCUGAUUAUUGUUUCCUGAUUCUCUUUUGUAAAUAAUCUAUUAAACAAAAUUCAGUAUUUGAUCGAUUGAAGACCAUAAAUACUACUUGCCAGGCAGACUUAAUGUCAUUAUAUUUGACCUAAAUCUGUGAUUUAAUAUUUCAAAUACAAAAAGGCAUGCAGCUGUAAUAGCAAUGAUUCACUGACAGUGACCCCAUUCUACACAUACUAUUGUUUCAAAAAUAAUAAAGAAACAAACUGUCAGGGACACAAAACCUUACACAAAAUUUGUGUAAGACUUAACUGGGAGAGGUUUUGUAAGUUAUUGACCUUGAAACACUAGACAUUAAUGUAAUUGUCCACAUGCAUUAUUAGGGAUUACAUGGGCAUAUUUUUGUUUUGUUUUGUUUUUUUUACUUGUGAGCACUUUGUGUAUACAAUAUGAAUGAAAUAAACAGUUAUGAGCAUUUCUUAAAAGUCUUUCAAAUUUGUUGAAAGCCAAAACAAUGACUCUAGUGUUUAAUGAAAAUAUAAAUGCACAGCACACAUUUCCUAGACAGAAAAAAAACCCAAACAGGUAUAUAGGAGCUUUUGUGUGACUAGUAUUCUGGGGAGAGAACACACACAUGCCUAGUUGAAGAAAAGGUUGCUAAUCCAUUAGGCAUCACACACACAAACACACACACACACACACAUUCACACAUUCACACGUAGGGGCGCUAUUCACAUUUGAAUAAUCAUUCUACCUACUCCCUGUUUCUGCGAGGAAACCAGAGACCUCAGAGGAAACACACACACACACACAUAAUUAUUGUGAGGAUAUCAUUUGGGGCUCCAAACAGACAGUAACCUGAGCUCAGGAUUAAACCAGGAACAGUGGAGCUGUGAAGUGACAACAUGACCAACUGUGCACAUUUCUUUUUAUAUUUGCUCAUGAAUGAGUGUCUAUAUGACAGCUGAUUUCUUCCUGUUAGAUAGUAUAGUCUUGCUGUAGAGUAUGUGUUAUAAGAACACAGUCAACCAUGGUGAGAAUAGUGAUAAAUCAAACACUAGUAUUACCUUAAUCCAAGGUGUGUGUAAAUAAUUUAAAGAUUUAAAAGUAAAAAAUUAGCAAGAUACAAAGGAUUAGAUCGCUAUAGUUGCUAUCUUAGAAUUUGCUUCCUCAAACAGACAAUAUUGUAGAUUUUGUUGGAAACAAAGAAGAUUGGGCUGAUGGUCAAUUUAUUUACUCAGCAAGCAAACACACAGAAAUUCCUAUAUUAAUUAUGAAAGUAAAUGUGGAGUUUAUUGAAAAUUACAGUGCCGACUUGCCAAACUAUUUGUCAAAUUAGUUGUAGGUAAUUUCUAAAAAAAAAUAUCAUAUUCAUUUAUCAAAUACCUUGAUCAUAAUCUUUCCAACAUCAUCAUCAUCAUCAUCAUCAUCAUCAUCAGGUUGUUUUAUCUGAAACCUCAGGUUGUUUUAUCUGAGACCCCACUGGCAUUUAUACGGCAUUAAAUUUAUAUAUUGUAUUUGCUCUAUGUAAUAAACAAAUUAGCCCGCAGGUUUUAACACUAGCUUCCUGUGUUCCUAGUUUUCUGUAUUUUUCAAUGCAAUUUCCAGCUCAAACAAACAAAACAAUAAUUAAGGGACACAGUUGUUUACACAGAGGUUAAAAGAAAUACUUAUUAGAUUAUUGGAGAUUGGAAAAGAGAUUUUGGAACAUUCUGGAUUUUUUUUUUCUGGAAUGUUUUUUUUUUUUUUUCACGCUUUACAUAAAGGAUAAACCUCAACAAAUAGUAGAGGCUGCUUGUCGAUGGCUAAUAAAAUCUAUUAAAAUUGUUAAGUUGAAUUUAAGAAUAGAGCACUGACAUGGUUUAGUCUCAUGAAUAUUCUGUUCUUAUUGAAGUAGUAUACUGUUCUUUUAUAGUAACAGCUUGUGUAAGAUUUCCAGCAAUUUUCUUGCAUUAGAACAGUCUUACAAUAGCAAUACCCUGAGUCAUCCAUGGGUAUAUUUAUUUCUAGCUCAUAUUUAGACUGAACAACAAUGGGGGAAUAAAACAUGUCUGGCGCUAACAAAAGAGUGAUAGGUGAUAAUAUCAGGGAAAAGUCCUUCUGUUAUGUCACUGUCAGUCCUCAACACUCCCCAUAAGCCCCCAUACAUCAUUCAAUAGAACUAUACACAAGCAAAAGAGAUUUCAUUUAUUCACCCUUUUUCUCUCCUAAGUUUAGAUGUUAAGAGAUGAUGUUUGGGGACCCUUUAUUUGUUCUCUGUGAAGACUUGUGUUUUUAUGGAAAGUGGAAAUGUAAAUUAGCUUCUGUGCAGCUUCUCUGGAGCUCUUGAGUGAUUUACAUAAAGGCUCUGGUGUUUUAAGGGUUAGGAACGCAGUUAAUCUCUGUCGAAGUUCAAAUUACAGCUAAUAUUGCAUGAUGAAGCCCUAUCUCUUUCUCCUGUGUUUGACAAGUGUUGUCCCAGCCACCCUCUCUCUUCUGAGACCUGUUGGUCACAAAUAUUCUCUGAUCAAGACAAAAGUGACAUGGCCAGUAGCUCAGAAUUACUGCAGG